rnacentral:lncRNA from 1 species
UAUAAUUUCCUAGACUAUACUCUUCCUAAUAAUCUUUAUUUUGUUCUAGUAUCUGUCAUCCUAUUCAAUUCAACAAAUAUUGAUUACUAUCUACUAGGUAUACAACUUCACAGCUGUUUUAAUUUAAGCACUCAAUGAAGACCAUUGAUAUGGAUGUCCUUUUCUGGCACUCAUUGUGAGAAGGAGUUUAAUGCCUUUUUGUUAAGUCAUAUGCUGAACUUCUGUGCUAGUGUGAAACACUAGCUCCUUACCCAUGACUGGUUUAAGAAAUAGACAAAAGUAUCACUUGGGUGAGAGAUGCUUCUAAUGAGGGAUGACUUUAGAGGACAUUCUGAUUUUUGUGAAAGCAUAGAACAUCUUUUUAAGAAAAGCCUAAAGGAGAAUACUUGAGGAAAUACCUAAACCUUUUGUUUGUUUGUUUGUUUGUUUAUGUUUUUUGUUUUGUUUGUUUUGUUGGUUGGUUUUGGUUUUGGGGUUUUGUUUAUUUGUUUGUUUGGUUGGUUGGUUUUUCGAGCUAUGGUUUAUCUGUGUUGCCCUGGCUGUCCUGGAACUCACUUUGUAGACCAGGUUAGCCUUGACCUCAGAAAUCUGCCUGCCUCUGCCUCCCAAGUGCUGGGAUUAAAGGUUUGUACCACCCCUGCCUGGCUGGAAAUACCUAAACCUUUAUACUGUGAAUUUUUCCUAUUAACACAAAUAGUUUUCUUAGUCUUCCCCAUUUACCUAUUCAACAACAUUUUGUUGCUAGAAGAAAAGAAGCCUAUAAUAGCACCUUGUAGUUCUUUGUAGUCCUGCAGGAAACUAAAAUGAUGUAUAACAGACAGGUCAGUGACCUGCAUUGGAGUUGAAUGUCCUCUUCCUAACUGUAUCCCUUAUGCCAUCUUAUAUUUAUAAUUGUUGAAACAAAAUUUGUACAAUUGCAAGUAUUAUUCAAUGAUAUCACAUCCUACUUCUGUAAAUUUGUGCCAGUUGAAGAUCAUAUAUUAAUUUGAUUUAUGUACUAAGUCAGGUUUUUUUAAACACUUAAAUAAAUGAAUAGGUAGAUACCCCUCAAGGAGGACCUCUCUCUCCAUCCCUCCCUCCUUCCUCCUUUCCCCUCCCUCCCUCCCCAUCCCCCUUUAUCUCCCCCCCCUUAUAGUUUUCUGUAGAAAGAUUUUUUUUCUCAUGUCAGUAACAGGCAUAGCUUAAUAAAUAUAAUACUGUUGCUUAGGGCCAUUUUUUCAAUUUUAAGAAAACAAUUUCUUUGGCUACAAAGUAAAGUUUUAGAGCAGACUCUACUUCUUUGUGUUCUUAUGACUGUGAAGCAAAACUAUUUGUGUUAUCAUUUCAAACUUACUUCAAUUACAUUUUUAAUACAUGUGAACAGUUUGCAAAUGGUAAAAUGCAAUAAAUCCUUCAAGGUAUAGAAUAUUAUUACCAGAAAAGAAAAUCUCUGUAAUUCUAUUCCAAAGAACAUGCCAUUAGCAUCACAUAGUCAUUGAAAGAUAAACAAGUUAUUUAAAAUAUCUCACUGAUAUUCUGAUUAUUUCUAAACUACAAACAUUAAAAAUCAGCACUUACAGUUAUUAGAAUUCUUUCACUCUUGACAAACUAAAAAUAAAUCUCAGAAAUGUACAAUGGGAACUUGCUAAAAGCUUUUGACAGCUUAAUUGUAAUCUCUGAUAUCUUCAUCGCUGAUUGAAUAUUGAUGAACAUCACAUGAAUACUCUUUGGAAUUCCGGACUUCUCAUGACACAGCUUUGGCUGGUUCUUGGGAAAUUCUUAUGAACAGAGUCUUUCCACCCUGUCUUUCCAGUAAGCUGUCAAAGGUUCUUAAACAAAUAUGAAACUUCGUUUCCCUUCUUUACCUUCUCAUCAAGUCUGAGCUCUAGUCAUCAAAAUUCCGGUUAAACUAAUUCACAGUGAAUUAUUAGCAGGAGGGAGGGAUUGACAGGCUUUCUUAGAAAACAUAUUUAGCUGAGUAGUGUCCAUCUGCAGCCACCUUUCCAUGUAGAGCGUUACUAUAGAUAAGUUAAAAAAAAAAAAGACUUUUCAAAGAAAACUUAAUCUUUUGACCUUGUUUUCCAAAACACUGCCACUUACACAGUACACUGAGGCCAUCAUUAACUUCUCAGCAUCGCUGUCCUGACUACACAAACAUGUGAUGUGGUACUUGGAAAUCUCCUUUUUCUUCCUUCUGUCAAUGGUAAUUUAAGCAUCAUUCCAUGUAACUUCAGCCUUGGGAAAGGGCUUCUUCUCUCCAUCUAAUUUAAGAAAACCAAGGACAUAUUAGUCCAUUUGUCUUUUUUACAUCUUUUAGUUUAAGAAAAUAUAAAAGCUAUGAUGAAGCUUCUGAGGGUGUUGACCAUUAUUUUUAAUCAAGUACAAGGUGUUAUAAUUAGAAGAGAAAAACAAGACAUAUUUAAUUGACUUUUAGACUAUAUGCUAUGAAUCUAUCAUUAAUUUUAUUUUGAUCUUACUUUUUUCAAAGAGCACAAAUUAGUAAAUGGACCCUUCUGUGAGUUAAAAGUGAAGAAAAACAACCAAGUAAUUCCAUGUUGUUCCUGUGUGUGUGUUUAUAAUGUCUUAGCUGAAAUAGAAAGUCUUAGAAAUGGACACACGUAUACCACCCAUCAGAAAUUAAAGAAUUUUGGAAGAAGAAAUUAAAAUAACAUCACCUAAUCCAAAAAUGUAAUAUAUUUCAAACAAUUAUUACUACAUUAUAUGUCAUUUAAUGUAUUGGUGUUAUUUGAUUUGUUAAAGUAAUGUCUUAGGGCAGGAGGUAGGUUUACUUUAAGAAACCAAUCUUAGUGAAAAGAUUGAACUUGGGAAGAGUGGUUGUUGUGUGAAGAUGAGGUAAAGUCGAACUUCUGAAUUGUAAUCUUGUUCCUGAGCUUUACAUAAAGACUGUAGGGUGGGAUGUUGUCUGGUGUAUGCAUGCACACAAUUUAACUUUCAGAACACAGAAACUCAAGGGGAAAAGAAAAGAAUUGAAACAUUAGAAUAUGAGUGAAAUAAGUAUACAGUAUGCAACUCUCAGUGUCACCCUCCCAAUUUAGUCACUGAAAAGCAACUGUGGGGCUCAGAUGUUGGAGAAAUGGUGACAGUAAAGUUUAGGGAUUUCUACCAAACAGGGGCAGAAGAGAAAUGGCACAGCUACAUCAAAGGUGGUCUAAAGAGAUGAUCAUUACAGUCUCUAUAAGUGGGGGAGGGAAGUACUAAUACCUGAAGCACUCCAUUGUCUAUGUAUUAGUCAUUGCACAAUGUUAACAUCUUGAAAGAAGAAACAUUUAUUAAUGGGUCAUUUCUGUGGGUUAAUUUAAAAUGGCUCUUCUGUUCUCAUGGUUAUUUUUGCUAUCUCUAAACAAGGCUCAAUACCAUAAGAACUUCAUGUAAUCUCAACCUUGUGGCUUUUUUUUUUUUUCUCAAAUUGAGUUCCUCACUAGCUAUUGAAUAGAACACCAGUUUCUUUUUGGUCACCAUCUUUGUUCUCUCUAUGGUCACUUCUUAACAGGACACUAUCUAGGAUGACAUCUAUUUAAUACAGGAGAGGAGAGAAAUGCCAAAGGAAGCCAGGCUUGUAUAAUUCAGUCUCAGAACUUGUUUUCCAUAUUUGAUAGACUCUACUUACUUGAAGCUAGUAAUUAGACUCAGAUUAACCCCACAGAAGGGAUGCAAAACUAGAAUUGAUGAUCACAGGGUCCAUACUAAAGACUAAAGACGACUUCUAACAGUGUUAGAAGAUGUUCUGAUAAUUAUUUCUAUACGUGAGACUUGAACUCUGAUGGCUGCUUUAUAUUGUCAGCGACAUUUGUUAGGGUUUGGAUCUGGAAUGUCCCCAAAGGUUUGUGUUUGAACAUUUGGUCGAAAUCCAGUGGUGGUGUUUGGGAAGGUUGUGGAACCUUUUGGCUGUAGCACUUUGCUGGAAGACCCAGUCCACUAAGGGAAAACUUGAGGGUGAGGGCUUACUUUUUCCUUUCUUCUGCUGCCAACGUGUAAGAUGGUCUAGUCCCAUGUUACUCUGCCAUGUAGUGUAGUGACCUCUGCCAGGAUGACCCAAAUCCCUGAAAGUAUGAUUCAAGGUCAUCCUUUCCUCUGUGAUUCUGGUGUGUGUUUUUUCACAGCAAUUAAAAAAAAUAACUGGUAGCAUGGACAAUGUUUCUGUAGAAACCAAACUUUAGCCUUAUCUGUACCAGGUUGAGACAACC